CAAAAACAUGUCUUUUUGAUUAUAAUUUAAAGUCUUGCCUGCCCAAUGAUUAUUUAAAUGGCCGCAGUAUAUUGACUGUGCAAAGGUAGCAUAAUCAUUAGUUUUUUAAUUGAAAGCUGGUAUGAAAGGUUUGAUGAAAAAUGAACUGUCUCUUUAUAAAUUUUUUAGAAUUUUAAUUUUAAGUGAAAAAGCUUAAAUUUUAUAUAAAGACGAGAAGACCCUAUAGAGUUUAAUAUUCAAUUAAUUUUUAAAUUAUAGGUUUAAAUUAUUUAAAAAUUAAUUGAAUAUUUUGUUGGGGUGAUAUAAAAAUUAAAUUAACUUUUUAUUUAUUUUUACAUUUAUAAAUGUAUAUUUGAUCUUGAGUUUCUGAUUAAAAGAGUAAAUUACCUUAGGGAUAACAGCGUAAUUUUUUUGGAAAGUUCUUAUUUAUAAAAAAGUUUGCGACCUCGAUGUUGGAUUAAAAUUUAUGUUCGGUGCACAAGCUGAACUAUUAGGUCUGUUCGACCUUUAAAAUUUUACAUGAUCU
rnacentral:rRNA from 1 species